AAACCAUGGUGAGGGCACCUUCGUAAGAGAUCCUUAUACCUUUCCCAUGCUUCAUAUAAUGACUCCAAGUCUUGUUGGUAAAAAUUGGUAAUCUCACUUCUCAGCUU